GAUGAACGCUGGCGGCGUGCCUAAUACAUGCAAGUCGAACGCGCAGCGAAAGGUGCUUGCACCUUUCAAGCGAGUGGCGAACGGGUGAGUAACACGUGGAUAACCUGCCUCAAGGCUGGGGAUAACAUUUGGAAACAGAUGCUAAUACCGAAUAAAACUUAGUAUCGCAUGAUACAAAGUUAAAAGGCGCUACGGCGUCACCUAAAGAUGGAUCCGCGGUGCAUUAGUUAGUUGGUGGGGUAAAGGCUUACCAAGACAAUGAUGCAUAGCCAAGUUGAGAGACUGAUCGGCCACAUUGGGACUGAGACACGGCCCAAACUCCUACGGGAGGCUGCAGUAGGGAAUCUUCCACAAUGGGCGCAAGCCUGAUGGAGCACCGCCGCGUGUGUGAUGAAGGCUUUCGGGUCGUAAAGCACUGUUGUAUGGAAAGAAAUGCUAAAAUAGGGAAUGAUUUUAGUUUGACGGUACCAUACCAAAAAGGGACGGCUAAAUACGUG
rnacentral:rRNA from 1 species